rnacentral:rRNA from 1 species
AUUGAACGCUGGCGGCAGGCCUAACACAUGAAAGUCGAACGAGUGGCGGACGGGUGAGUAAUGUCUGGGAAACUGCCUGAUGGAGGGGGAUAACUCCUGGAAAAGGUAGCUAAUACCGCAUACCAUCGGAGGUGCCCAGAUGGGAUUAGCUAGUAGGUGGGGUAAAGGCUCACCUAGGCGACGAGCCCUAGCUGGCCUGAGAGGAUGACCGGCCACACUGGACCUGAGAAACGGUCCAGACCCCGACGGUAGGCAGCAGUGGGGAAUAUUGCACAAUGGGCGCAAGCCUGAUGCAGCCAUGCCGCGUGUAUGAAGAAGGCCUGCGGGUUGUAAAGUACUUUCAGCGGGGAGGCGGUACCCGCAGAGGAAGCACCGGCUAACUCCGUGCCAGCAGCCGCGGUAAUUC